rnacentral:rRNA from 1 species
GGAUGAACGCUGGCGGCGUGCCUAAGACAUGCAAGUCGCGGGGGUUUAGACCCCCGGCGAACGGGUGAGUAACACGUGGGAACUUUCAUUAAGUUCGGAAUAACCUCUCGAAAGGGAGGACAAUACCGGAUGUGGUCGCGAGACUAAAGCCGCAAGGCGCUUAAUGUGAGGCCCGCGCUCCAUCAGCUAGUUGGUAGGGUAAAAGCCUACCAAGGCUAUGACGGAUAGGGGGCCCGAGAGGGUGAUCCCCCACACUGGGACUGCGACACGGCCCAGACUCCUACGGGAGGCAGCAGUUGGGAAUUUUGGACAAUGGGCGAAAGCCUGAUCCAGCGACGCCGCGUGCACGAAGAAGGCCUUCGGGUUGUAAAGUGCUUUUGAUAGGGACAAAUUUUGAUGGUACCUAUAGAAUAAGAGGUUGCUAACUCUGUGC